rnacentral:lncRNA from 10 species
GAAAGAGAAAAAGAAUAGAAAGAAAAGAAAGAACGGAAAGAAAGAAAAGAAAGAAAAAAGAAUAAGAAGCAGACAGCCAGGAAUUGAGCUUUGAGAAUGAGUUACCCCACAAGAGGAAAGAACCACUCAGUGUUUGGUCCGCCCAACACCCUUUCGUCUUCUGGAAACAGCAGCAUUCCCCUUGGGGUACUGUGCCUGGCCCAUUCCUACAGGUGGGCUGAACCACAGCUGCCAUCUUCUUCCAUGAUCCUGCCUCUCUGGCCACGCUGUGAUUGUUCCAGGCCUGGGUAUCGGCUGUGAGCUGGACCAAUCAGAGACCUCCCCUGGGACUUUUCAACUGUAACCAAGAGGCCUUUUGCUGUCUGGUAAUGAAGCUGAGAAGAUGCAGGCUCAGAACCUGUGAAUGGCCACAGUACCGGGCUCAUGGGGAAAGGCAGAGAAUGAAGCCACCUCAUGGAGAGAAACAGGAAGUGCUGGUAUGUUCUGGGCCCUGGGGUUCCAGGACCUGCCCCACUAUUCAGCUCUUCUUUUGGUUCUUUGGGCUACUUCAGUAUCCUCCGUGCACCCCCCUUUUCCAUUUAAGCGAGUUUGAAUUGGGUUUUCGUCACUAGAAGUAGGUGGGGACAUACGUUUCUCGCUCGGCUGAAGGUGGUUUGGAGGAAAAUUUCCCAAGGUGGCAGAAGAGCUGAGUAGGGGCAUCCACAAAGGGGUGGGCGUCCCGUGCCACUGCUGGGUGCCCCACCCCCACAUCCCCUCCUAUGUAAGGAACCUAGAGGAGCUUUGUCCAUGGUUCACAUAGUAUCUCAUUAUUUAUUUACUUAUUGAGACUGAGUCUCGCUCUGUCACCCAGGCUGGAGUGCAGUGGGAUGAUCUCGG